UAAAACAUAACGUUAAUGCAUCGGAUCUCAUUAGAACUCCACAGUUAAGCAUGCUCAAGCUAGAGUAGUACUAGGAUGGGUGACCGCCCGGGAAGUCCUAGUGUUUUAC
rnacentral:rRNA from 1 species